rnacentral:lncRNA from 1 species
AGUAAACAAGUCUCCACUGCCUUGGCCAUGUGCUGUGUUCACCCCACUCCUGAUCUUGUUGGCUGCUCAGGGGCUGACAGCCCAGAUGUGCAGCUGUGAUGAGCAGAAACAGGGAGGAAUGGAGCCCCCAGUAAGUCAUGUAUCCGUUAAAAGAAUAUCUGGAAACCUCCAAAAGGAAGCCAAGCAUAGACUAUUUGGAAGAACUUGAAGGAGCGAGAGCUGACCCCAUCUUUGUACACUGGCAGCACAAGGACAACAAUCAACACGGAAGACUUCUGUGACCAAAUGUGUGCACGUUUCUCUCCAUACACCAAGCAAGCAAUCUAUUCUGCAGCAGACACCAACUGGAAGUCCUCCAAUUCAAUUCAAUUCUGACACUGUCUACCUGGAAAUGGCCUCAGCAACCACAGGUUGAGAGCUCAGUCCCACAAGAACACCUCCUCCUUCCAACCAGUUGAAACUCCACACCUCCAGAACUUCUCACUGACUGGCUUCGAGUUGAGGUUUCCACAGUCCUCUGUUUGAGUUUGAUUAAUUUGCUAGAGAAGUUCACAGAACACAAGGAAACACUUACUUAUGUUGAUCAAUUUAUCACAAAGGAUGUUUUAAAGGAUCCAAAUGGGGGCCAGGCACAGUGGCUCAUGCCUGUAAUCCCAGCACUUUGGGAGGCUGAGGCAGGCGGAUCAUGAGGUCAGGAGAUCAAGACCACCCUGGCUAACACGGUGAAACCCCGUCUCUACUUAAAAAAAAAAAAAAAAAUUAGCCGGGUGUGGUGGUGGGCACCUGUAGUCCCAGCUACUCAGGAGGCUGAGGCAGGAGAAUGGCAUGAACCCAGGAGGCAGAGCUUGCAGUGAGCGGAGAUUGCGCCUCUGCACUCCAGCCUGGGCAACAGACCAAGACUCUGUCUCAAAAAAAAUAAAUACAUAAAAUAAAAAAUAAAAAAUAAAUAAAUAAAUAAAUAAAUAAAGGAUCCAAAUGAAAAGCCAGAUGAAGAGAUAUAUAGUGUGAGGUCUGCUCCUGAGACUUAAAGCACUCCAACAUUAUAACAGAAGACUAUGGGAGUUAUGCCAACAACCAUGGAUGAAAACAUGUUUUAUAUAUAAUAUAUAUAUUAUAUAUAAUUAUAUAUUAUGUAUUAUUAUAUAUAAUUAUAUAUUAUAUAUAUUUUAUAUAUACUCGCAAGAGGUUAAUUCAGAAAAUUGCUACUGUGGUUGCUACUUUUUGUCCUUUAACAACCAAUUUAAAGUAAAAUUUUGACUGAAAUAGCAAUUGAUUUUUGAGAAAUGUCAGCAAUCGCAAUGAUAAUAAUUUUUUAGCCAUUAUCCCAAAGGAAACGAGUGAUGUUUUCAAAAUGUACUUCAAUCCUUCAGCAAUAAUCAGAUAAAUAAAUUUCCUGUAAAAUUAUAAUUAAAAGUAAAUGAUACUUUUAAUUUUUAUGGAUAAAUAAUAUUUGUACAUAUUUAUGAGAUUCAUGUGAUAUUUUGUUACAUGCAUACAAUAUAUAAUGGUCAAGACAGGGUAUUUAGGGCAACUGCUACCUUGAGUAUGUGUCAUGUUCUGUGUUUAUCAUUUGAAAUCUUCUUGCUAUUUUGAAAGACAAUACACUGUUGUUAACUAUAAUCACUCUACUAUGAUAUUGAACAGUAUAAUUUAUUCCUUUAUCUAACUGUAUGUUUGUACCCAUUAACUAACCUCUGUCCAUCUCCCGCACCCUUGCCAUACACACUCUUUUCAUCUUCUUGUAUCUAUUAUUCUCUUCUCUACCUCCAGGAGAUUAACAUUUUUAGCUCCCACACAUAUGUGAUGACUUGUAAUAUUUGUCUUUCUGUGCCUGGCUUUUUUCACUUAUGUUAAUGAACUCCAGUUCCAUUCAUGCUGCUGCAAAUGACACGAUUUCCUUAUUUUUAUUGCUGGAUAUUAUUCCAUUGUGUGUAUACGCUGCAUUUUUAUCCAUUGGUUUAUUGACGAACACUUAGGUUGAUUCCAUAUCUUUGCUAUUGUUAGUAGUGCUACGAUAAACAUGGGAGUGCAGAUAUCUUUUUGAAAUAUUGAUUUUGUUUUCUUUAUAUAAAUACCCAGUAGUGGUAUUUUUGAAUCAUAUGGUAGUUCUAUUUUUUGAUUUUACUAAUUUAUAUUCCCACCGGUAGUGUGUAAAAGUUCCCUUUUCUCCACAUCCUCACCAGCAUCUGUUAUUUUUUGUCUUUUUAAUAAUAGUCAUUCUAACUUAGGUAAGAGGAUAUCUAAAUUAUCUUUCAAUGAAAGGAAUGAGGGAUACAUUAAUAUUAGGCAUUGAUCUUCUUUUGACAGAAAAACAUCAAAAUGUUGUACAAAUUUGUAAGGAUUUGAUAAUAAAUUUUGGCAGAUGUCCAAUAUCAAGAUCACCAACCACUUCAUUAAUAAUUGUUGUUAAGUCAUGGAACUUGUCUGCAGAAAUUGUAUUCUUCCAAGCUUCUAACUGAGGAUUUUGCCCUUCAACCUUAUCUGCUGUGAAAAGACAUGUUUUUUUUUGCAAAGCAAUAUUAAGAUAAUUGAAAUAUCCAAAAUACUAGACAAAUGAGAAAGAUUCGUUGUCCAAUUUCAUCUUAAAGUCAAUAUCAAAUUGGUUGCUUACCUUGGAAACACUGAGAUUGUUCUAUAGUUCAACAGUUCUCCACCAAACUUUUACCCUCAAUAAAGAUGUACUUCCACAUACAUUAACAGUUGUUUUUAGUCAGCUUUCACAUUAUUGCCUAUAAAAAAAUUAAAGUUAUUACCCUUAUGGAAUGAUUACAUUUUACAAUUUCUCUAAGCAUAAUGUUUAGUUCAACAAGAUUUUUUGCUUUUCUAUAUAUAACAAAAAUUUCUCAAUGAAGCAAACAUUACAUUGAUUUAUAAUCUAUCGCAAGCUUCUUAAUCUGACUAAUUAUUUCAGAACAUGCCCCUACUGUGCUCAACAAUUACAUAGUUCCUGCCAUUUGUGACUCAUCAUGUGAAUUUGACCUGUUCUGUAACUCUUUCAAUAAA